UCCUUCCCCAAGCCGUGCACUUAGUCAAAGAGGAUGACCAUUCCCAAUAGAGGAAAACCAUUUUCCUUAUUCAAAGUCAUGGUGUUUGAGUAGCCAUGCUCCCCUGUUAGAACCUCCAAAGAGGCUCGAAGGGCUAAGAGCCAUUCCAGGGCUUAGGAUGCAGUGUUGAGC
rnacentral:sRNA from 1 species